rnacentral:rRNA from 1 species
UCAGGCCUAACACAUGCAAGUCGAGCGGCAGCGACAUGAUAGAAGCUUCGGUGGACAUCAUGGGCGGCGAGCGGCGGACGGGUGAGUAAUGCCUGGGAAUAUGCCCUGGUGUGGGGGAUAACUAUUGGAAACGAUAGCUAAUACCGCAUAAUCUCUUCGGAGCAAAGAGGGGGACCUUCGGGCCUCUCGCGUCAGGAUUAGCCCAGGUGGGAUUAGCUAGUUGGUGGGGUAACGGCUCACCAAGGCGACGAUCCCUAGCUGGUCUGAGAGGAUGAUCAGCCACACUGGAACUGAGACACGGUCCAGACUCCUACGGGAGGCAGCAGUGGGGAAUAUUGCACAAUGGGGGAAACCCUGAUGCAGCCAUGCCGCGUGUAUGAAGAAGGCCUUCGGGUUGUAAAGUACUUUCAGCAGUGAGGAAGGGGUGUACGUUAAUAGCGUAUAUCUUUGACGUUAGCUGCAGAAGAAGCACCGGCUAACUCCGUGCCAGCAGCCGCGGUAAUACGGAGGGUGCGAGCGUUAAUCGGAAUUACUGGGCGUAAAGCGCAUGCAGGCGGUCUGUUAAGCAAGAUGUGAAAGCCCGGGGCUUAACCUCGGAACAGCAUUUUGAACUGGCAGGCUAGAGUCUUGUAGAGGGGGGUAGAAUUUCAGGUGUAGCGGUGAAAUGCGUAGAGAUCUGAAGGAAAACCGGUGGCCAAGG